UACGGAGGGUGCGAGCGUUAUCCGGAAUUACUGGGUUUAAAGGGUGCGUAGGCGGCUUGGUAAGUCAGGAGUGAAAGUUUGCGGCUCAACCGUAAAAUUGCUUUUGAUACUGCCAGGCUAGAAUUAGGAUGAGGUCAGCGGAAUGUGGCAUGUAGCGGUGAAAUGCAUAGAUAUGCCAUAGAACACCAAUUGCGAAGGCAGCUGGCUAGACCUGUAUUGACGCUGAGGCACGAAAGCGUGGGGAGCGAACAGG
rnacentral:rRNA from 1 species